rnacentral:misc_RNA from 1 species
GAACGCACCUUGCACCCUUUGGUAUUCCGAAGGGUAUGCUCGUUUGAGUGUCAUUGUAUUCUCACACUUCCGAUCUUUGGGUUGGGAGCGGUGGACUUGGGUUUGCUGCUUCACCGUGGCUCACCUCAAAUAUGUUAGUGCAGCUCUUGGUUGGACAUAGUACGGCGUGAUAAGUGUUUUUCGCCGGUGCCUCGCAAAGAGGGUGGCCGAUCGGGAUGUUGUGCUCCAAACCGUCUUCGGACAAUCUCUGACAACUUGACCUCAAAUCGAGUAGGACUACCCGCUGAACUUAAG